rnacentral:misc_RNA from 1 species
GAUGAAGAACGUAGCGAAAUGCGAUACUUGGUGUGAAUUGCAGAAUCCCGUGAACCAUCGAGUCUUUGAACGCAAGUUGCGCCCGAAGCCAUUAGGCCGAGGGCACGCCUGCCUGGGCGUCACACGUCGUUGCCCCCCAUCUACUCCUUCGGGAUUGCGGGGGGCGGAUGAUGGCCUCCCGUGCGCCUCGUCGCGCGGUUGGCAUAAAUGCCAAGUCCUCGGCGACGCACGCCACGACAAUCGGUGGUUGCGAAACCUCGGUUGCCCGUCGUGUGCGGUCGUCGCGCAUCGAGGGCUCGAAAAAAUUGCCGGGCUCCGGCUCGGCUUUCAACGCGACCCCAGGUCAGGCGGGGUUACCCGCUGAAUUUAAGCAUAUCAAUAAGCGGAGA